GACGAACGCUGGCGGCGUGCUUAACACAUGCAAGUCGAACGGAAAGGCCCUGCUUUUGUGGGGUGCUCGAGUGGCGAACGGGUGAGUAACACGUGAGUAACCUGCCCUUGACUUUGGGAUAACUUCAGGAAACUGGGGCUAAUACCGGAUAGGAGCUCCUGCUGCAUGGUGGGGGUUGGAAAGUUUCGGCGGUUGGGGAUGGACUCGCGGCUUAUCAGCUUGUUGGUGGGGUAGUGGCUUACCAAGGCUUUGACGGGUAGCCGGCCUGAGAGGGUGACCGGCCACAUUGGGACUGAGAUACGGCCCAGACUCCUACGGGAGGCAGCAGUGGGGAAUAUUGCACAAUGGGCGGAAGCCUGAUGCAGCAACGCCGCGUGCGGGAUGACGGCCUUCGGGUUGUAAACCGCUUUCGCCUGUGACGAAGCGUGAGUUGCGGUAAUGGGUAGAGAAGCACCGGCUAACUACGUG
rnacentral:rRNA from 1 species